CUUUAUGUUAAUACACAGCUGCGGGAUCUAGGAUCGCACCCCUCCCGGGCACCUGUCAGAGCAGGGGGGCAACAUUUGCCCGCAUCACCACUGUCCCACUGACAUCCAAAUUCAUGCAGCAGCCAGAUCACCACUCCUUGCAGCUAAUGAAAGUCUUCCGAAGUAGAAGAGGAGCUUUGCCACAAAACAUUAACAAUGACAAGGAUGCUGCCAUUGAAACUAAAAGAACUCGUGUACUGAAAGCACGAAUUGUUUAUCUCAGUGAAGACCCCGAAACUCUCAUAAAGGAGGACACUGAUGACAACCAUUCGGCGAUGCGGCAGAUGAUCCUGGGAAUCUUCACCAUUAAGAUGGAAGCUGCAGAACCCACAGAUGACCUUGAAGGUGUUGGAAUAAUCACUGGAGGUGUCCAAGUGCUUCAUGACCUUGGUAACAUUGCAAAUGCAGUCGCCAUGUUGUUUGGCCUCCUUUACUCACUGGUCUUGAAGCUGCCCCACAAAGCUUAAGUAGACAUUUGAGGUUUUACAAAAAAUUGUUAUGGAACUUGAUGGAAACUGUCUCUCAACAAAAGCUCAAGAUCUAAAAACAAACAAACAAAAAAACGUUUGAAUGAAGAGUUCAGACAAGAAAUUGCAAGAAAACAAAGGAGCAAUGAAAGACAGUUUAGUGUAACCUUGAAAUGAAACUGCAGAACACUUGGACAAGGGUUUGUGUCCCCAACCAUCAACAGAACUGGAAUGUUUUGGAUCCAAACAUUGAACUACCAAUGGUCUUUGAAAAUGAUGUCUGGAUAUGUUUUAGCAGACAAAUUUUUCAUAUGAGAUUUUCAUUUUAUGUUGGUCAGGGAAGGGGGCACCCAGCUCUGACUGCGACACACUGACCACCUGUCCAGGGUGUACCUCACCUCGCGCCCUAAGACAGCUGGAGAAUGGAUGGAUGGAUGGACAGGGAAGUGUGAAAAAUAAAAAAUGGAGAAUGUAACAAAGAUUGGCAUGAAAGACGGGGCAAUAAGAGAUGUCACAAGGGUUGCGUACCUUAAGUAAUUAUUUUCUGUUUCUCCAAAACUUGGUAUGUGUAGUUCCUUUCUGCUACAGAGUCCAUUUGUUGUUGGUUUGCUUUUUAAACAGGAUUUGACACAAUAUUAAC
rnacentral:lncRNA from 1 species